rnacentral:rRNA from 1 species
UACAGAGGAGCCAAGCGUUGUCCGGAUUGACUGGGCGUAAAGCGCACGCAGGCGGUUGCGCGCGUGGGGGGUGAAAUCUGGCCGCUUAACGGCCAGGCGCCAUCCCAUACGGCGCGACUGGAGUGAUGCAGAGGUCGAUGGAAUUGCCGGUGUAGUGGUGAAAUGCGUAGAGAUCCGGAGGAACACCAGAGGCGAAGGCGGCCUACUGGGUCAGUACUGACGCUGAGCCGCGAAAGCCAGGGGAGCGAACGGG